GAUGAAGAACGCAGCGAAUUGCGAUAAGUAAUGUGAAUUGCAGAUUUUCAGUGAAUCAUCGAAUCUUUGAACGCACCUUGCGCUCCUCGGUAUUCCGAGGAGCAUGCCUGUUUGAGUGUCAUUUCAACCUUCAAGCUCUGCUUGGUAUUGGGCCUGCGCUGGUCUCCCAGCGGGCCUCAAAAUCAGUGGCGGUGCCAUCUGGCUUCAAGCGUAGUAACACAUCUCGCUUCUGGAGACCCAGGUGUUUGCCUGCCAGCAACCCCAUCUUCUCAGGUUGACCUCGGAUCAGGUAGGGCUACCCGCUGAACUUAAGCAUAUCAAUAAGCGGAGGA
rnacentral:misc_RNA from 1 species